rnacentral:tRNA from 1 species
GGCAUUAUAUUUUAUAAAGAAAAUAUGAUUUGCAAUCAUAAAGAAAGAUUUAUAUAUCUUUAAUUCCU